UACGUAGGUGGCAAGCGUUAUCCGGAAUUACUGGGCGUAAAGCGCACGCAGGCGGUCUUUUAAGUUUGACGUGAAAGCUCCCGGCUUAACUGGGAGAGGUCGUUGAAGACUGGGAGACUUGAGGCAAUGAGAGGGGUGUAGAAUUCCUGGUGUAGUGGUGGAAUGCGCAGAUAUCAGGAGGAACACCAAUGGCGAAGGCAGCUCGCUGGGACGGUACUGACGCUGAGACGCGAAAGCGUGGGGAGCAAACAGG
rnacentral:rRNA from 1 species